rnacentral:rRNA from 1 species
UUGAACGCUGCCGGCAGGCCUAACACAUGCAAGUCGAGCGGAAACGAUCCUAGCUUGCUAGGAGGCGUCGAGCGGCGGACGGGUGAGUAAUGCAUAGGAAUCUGCCCGGUAGUGGGGGAUAACUUGAGGAAACUCAAGCUAAUACCGCAUACGCCCUACGGGGGAAAGCAGGGGCUCUUCGGACCUUGCGCUAUCGGAUGAGCUUAUGUCGGAUUAGCUGGUUGGUGAGGUAACGGCUCACCAAGGCGACGAUCCGUAGCUGGUCUGAGAGGAUGAUCAGCCACAUCGGGACUGAGACACGGCCCGAACUCCUACGGGAGGCAGCAGUGGGGAAUAUUGGACAAUGGGGGCAACCCUGAUCCAGCCAUGCCGCGUGUGUGAAGAAGGCCCUCGGGUUGUAAAGCACUUUCAGCGAGGAAGAAUGCUUGUCGGUUAAUACCCGGCAAGGGAGACAUCACUCGCAGAAGAAGCACCGGCUAACUCCGUGCCAGCAGCCGCGGUAAUACGGAGGGUGCGAGCGUUAAUCGGAAUUACUGGGCGUAAAGCGUGCGUAGGCGGCUUGAUAAGCCGGUUGUGAAAGCCCCGGGCUCAACCUGGGAACGGCAUCCGGAACUGUUAGGCUAGAGUGCAGGAGAGGAAGGUAGAAUUCCCGGUGUAGCGGUGAAAUGCGUAGAGAUCGGGAGGAAUACCAGUGGCGAAGGCGGCCUUCUGGACUGACACUGACGCUGAGGUACGAAAGCGUGGGUAGCAAACAGGAAGAUACCCUGGUAGU